CCCAGAGGCAAGAAGAUGGUGUCAGAGUCCCUGGAACCUGAGGUGCGCUGACUGGUGGGUGUGGGAAUCAAACCGGAGUCCUGUGGAAGAGCACUGAGUACUGCUAACUACUGCGCCGUCUCUCCUGCCCCCAGUCUUACUUUCUUUAAAAGAUCUUAUUGAAACUGGGUUGUAACUGGCGUCCUGUGGCACCGCCACAUCAGAGAAAAGAGGAGGGAAUUGUCUCCUGAGUGAAUGGUGGCUUUACUCCUUCAUCGCUGUACUUGGCCUCCACGAAUCUCUGAAUCUCCAGAGGAACUUCAUGUGAUUUCUGGUCAACUGGAAUUUGGGUUCUGAGCAGGACUUCAUUGUGGCCUUCUGGCCUGGGAAGGGCAUCACUGAACAGAAAGGCAUCCAGCUGGACAGAAGAGCUUGCUGCAAACAGGGUUAUAACCAACAAAGGAUCCCAGCACUCAGUCACAAAAACCAGGAACAGAGACUUUGGGUCAGUCAGCAAACCCACAGUGGCAUUCUGAAGCUCAAG